rnacentral:rRNA from 1 species
UCCUACGGGGGGCAGCAGUGAGGAAUAUUGGUCAAUGGGCGAGAGCCUGAACCAGCCAAGUCGCGUGAGGGAAGACGGUCCUAUGGAUUGUAAACCUCUUUUGUCGGGGAGCAAAAAGGCCUCGUGAGGCCACAAGUGAGAGUACCCGAAGAAAAAGCAUCGGCUAACUCCGUGCCAGCAGCCGCGGUAAUACGGAGGAUGCGAGCGUUAUCCGGAUUUAUUGAGUUUAAAGGGUGCGCAGGCGGAAGAUCAAGUCAGCGGUAAAAUUGAGAGGCUCAACCUCUUCGAGCCGUUGAAACUGGUUU